ACAUAAACACACACACGCCCACACAAAAUAUAUAUAUAUAGAGAGAGAGAGUGAGAAAAGGGUUAUGUGAAUAGUUCUUAAAUCACUGUGUUUAAUCGAACUUCAUCUUGUCUUGCAUAUCAUAUUGCUCGGUACAUCUCAGCACAACAUGCUCAAACUGCUUUUGUUGGCCACAGUAGUGCUCUACUGUAAUGGCUGCUACUCUCCCCGUCUAGAUGUCACGGAUCAAGGAUGUAUUGACGUGGAUGGAACUGUCCACGUGUUUGACUCUUCCUGGGUGGAUGGAACUGACAUCUGUGUAUGUGGGACCACAGGGCCCAUCUGUUGCCCAAGAUAAGAGGAGGGAUCCUGAGGAUGAAAAACGAUUCUGGAGGGAUUGAUUUCAUUUCUUUUACAUGAUUACAUAAGUUUUGAAAUAAAAGUAAUAUACAUGUUUGACCAUACAUUGUGUUUUUGUGAAAAUACAGUGUAAUAUAUCAAACAUAAUACAUAUUAAACAUAAAGGUAAAUAUUUUGCUCUGAUAUUACAGAUUAUUAGAUUGAUUAUUUGUUCUUGCCACAAUCAGAGAAAAUAAAAUGUCAGCAAUGCA